rnacentral:snRNA from 1 species
GGUAUGAGCGUGCCAAAACAGGA